UAGGAAAAUCUGAACCCCAAUAUGCCAUCUCUUUAUGCUUCUAAUCCUCAACAAAAUGCACAAGGAGUGAUAUUUGAUUAGCAUGUUCAAAGAGUGGAUACUCCAAGCUCAAAUGGUGUAGCAUUUUAUGGUUAUAAUCCCCAAAGAAAUGUGCAAGGAUUGGGGCAAUUACAUAUAAUGGAGCAACCUCAUCCAGGUUAUACUAUCAAUCAACAAAGUAUGCAAAGGAUGAAUUUUGGAACUUUUCAGUACAGAUAAAAA